rnacentral:rRNA from 1 species
CCGUGCUAAGGUAGCAUAAUCAAUCGCCUCUUAAUUGGAGGCUAGAAUGAAAGGAAUAACGAGCUCCCCCCUGUCUCAAGUACAGGCAAGUCAAAAUUUAGUACCUCGUUAAGACGCGAGGGUAUCCUGGUUAGACGAGAAGACCCCGUCGAGCUUUACUUUAAUCUAUUGAAUAUCCAGCUUCUAGAAAGAAGUUAAACUCAGAUAGAGAAAUAGUUUAGUUGGGGUGACUACCCAAAAUUUAGAAACUUGGGUGAACGAGAGUGAAUUAUAAAAUAAUAGGCUUUACUGAAGGGAGGACACUCCUCUCAGUCACAGAAUAGUGUGGGUUUUAGAGACCCGUUCAAUACAGUGGAACGAUAUCGAAUAAAAGCUACCGCGGGGAUAACAGGGUUAUUUAGUCCUAGAGCUCCUAUCGAAGGCUGA